rnacentral:tRNA from 1 species
GCUUCCUUAGCUCAGUUGGCAGAGCGCAUCCAUGGUAAGGAUGAGGUCAGCGGUUCGAGCCCGCUAGGAAGCU